UACGUAGGGCGCAAGCGUUGUCCGGAAUUAUUGGGCGUAAAGAGCUCGUAGGUGGCGUGUCGCGUCUGCCGUGAAAGCCCAUGGCUUAACUGUGGGUCUGCGGUGGAUACGGGCAGGCUGGAGGCUGGUAGGGGCAAGCGGAAUUCCUGGUGUAGCGGUGAAAUGCGUAGAGAUCGGGAAGAACGCCGGCGGCGAAAGCGACUCUCUGGUCGGAUCCUGACGCUGAGGUGCGAAAGCUAGGGGAGCAAACGGG
rnacentral:rRNA from 1 species